rnacentral:misc_RNA from 1 species
GAUGAAGAACGUAGCGAAAUGCGAUAAGUAAUGUGAAUUGCAGAAUUCAGUGAAUCAUCGAAUCUUUGAACGCACAUUGCGCCCGCCAGUAUUCUGGCGGGCAUGCCUGUUCGAGCGUCAUUUCAACCAUCAAGCCCCAGGCUUGUGUUGGGGACCUGCGGCUGCCGCAGGCCCUGAAAACCAGUGGCGGGCUCGCUGUCACACCGGGCGUAGUAGAUUUUAUCUCGCUCAGGGCGUGCUGCGGGUUCCGGCUGUUAAAAAGCCUUUUUUACCCAAGGUUGACCUCGGAUCAGGUAGGAAUACCCGCUGAACUUAAGCAUAUCAAUAAGCGGAGGA